CAAGUCCACGAUUGACCACAGCAGCUAGACCCUCAAGUGCUGUUUGUCUAUUUUCUUGCUCGUUGUGGUUCUGUGUGCGAGCCAAGUUCUUGAUGCUUUUGGCGUUAUUGUUUUCCCUUUCUUUUUAUAAGAUUAGACAUAGGCCGUCUUUGAAAGAAUUUAUAAAAGCUAACAUUUAAGGUUCUCAAGAAUGGAUUCUCCAUGCAACAGAAAUAAUGGAUGCUUUAGUUUUAAGGCAGAUAGGCUUCAAGAUAAUUCUCCAUGAUGCUGUUGUUGAUGGGAAGCUUAGAAUUCCAGACAAGUUUGUGAGGUAGUAGGGAAAUUGUCUCCCACUGGUGCUGCGUGGGAAAUAGAAUUGUUCAAGAGCAUAACCAAUGACAUGGAGCCUGAUGUCGAGGGACAGCUUCAAGAACCACUGACAGAAGAAGCUCAUGAUGAUGUCUCUUUUCAAAUCAUUACGAUUUCCCCUGACUCAGGAAAACAAAAGAGAAAUUCCCAUUCCCAUGUCCUCAGCAUCAUAAGAGGAUAAGUCUCAAUUUUACUAGUAAAAUUGAGAGCACUUCAAUAGGAGCUGUAUUAUCUGUGUUGAAGCAAGAUGAACUCAGGCAACAGAGGCAUUUCUUGUCAGCAGAACAGAAAACAAAAAAAAGGGAUGCGGGUGCUCACAGAUGGUGAGAAAACUAAUGCUCUUCAGAAAACUAAUGCUGCUUUCCAAUCCACGAAUCCCUAUAUAUAUCCUUCUAGGUAUAGCUGCUCCAACACUUGCAUAUGAUGUUUUUAUUUGUUUUCUCGAACCUGACCUUAAAACUUGCGACCUGUCGGGUGGGACAAGAGGUCCCACGUCCAAGCCAUGAAAACCAAUUGGUGAGGCAAGUGCUUCCAAACUUUUUGCUACUUAUUAGACCCCGACCCAAGUUCUCAGGAGGAUGAACCUUCUCUUGGUCUUCUCUGGUAUUUUUUUUUUUUUUAAUGUUCGUUGCAAGCAUCUUAACAAGACUGAUCAACAGGAGGUAGAAUCAGCUUUCUCACGUUGAGUAGAGUACCAUCUCGUGUCAUCUUUGACUAAAAUGCACGUAAGAAAAUGUGAGAGGUGUUGUUCAAUCCUUAUCGGGGACAUUAAAGGGAUUGUAUUAGUGAAUAAUAAUGUUAUUUCCAGAAGUUUCUCUAUGGAGAGGAGGUGGUAUGCCAAUCCCAAUGGGUUUACUUUACUACUCCUACAGUGCCAAUGCAUCAACAAGGGGAAUAAUCCCACAUACGAUAAGCCAGAAUUCUAAUUUCUUGAAACCUGUGGGUUUAGAUUCUUACUUUUCAGCUGGUAACCACAAGUGCCACAUUAUCAUGACAUUUUCACGAAAUAUAUUUUCUGUUCUCUUUCUUACUC